UACUCCUACGGGGAGGCAGCAGUAGGGAAUCUUCCGCAAUGGACGAAAGUCUGACGGAGCAACGCCGCGUGAGUGAUGAAGGCUUUCGGGUCGUAAAACUCUGUUGUUAGGGAAGAACAAGUACGAGAGUAACUGCUCGUACCUUGACGGUACCUAACCAGAAAGCCACGGCUAACUACGUGCCAGCAGCCGCGGUAAUACGUAGGUGGCAAGCGUUAUCCGGAAUUAUUGGGCGUAAAGCGCGCGCAGGCGGUUUCUUAAGUCUGAUGUGAAAGCCCACGGCUCAACCGUGGAGGGUCAUUGGAAACUGGGGAACUUGAGUGCAGAAGAGAAAAGCGGAAUUCCACGUGUAGCGGUGAAAUGCGUAGAGAUGUGGAGGAACACCAGUGGCGAAGGCGGCUUUUGGUCUGUAACUGACGCUGAGC
rnacentral:rRNA from 1 species